GUUUAUCAAAAACAUGGCUCUUUGCUUAAUAUAUAUAAAGAGUCGAGCCUGCCCAGUGAAAUUUUUCAACGGCCGCGGUACUCUGACCGUGCAAAGGUAGCGUAAUCAUUUGCCUUAUAAUUAAAGGCUGGUAUGAAUGGUCUGACGAGAGCAAUACUGUCUCCUUUUUAUUUUCAAGAACUUAACUUUUAGGUGAAGAGGCCUAAAUUUUAUUGAAGGACAAGAAGACCCUGUUGAGCUUAAAAGAAAUUAUAGAAGUUUAAUAUAUUUUUAGAUAAAUUUUCUAUUAAGCUUUUUAGUUGGGGCGACUGAGGAACAAAAAAAGCUUCUUUGUAACAGUAAACAAUCACGUUUAGAUCCGAUAGUAGCGAUUAAAGGAAUUAGUUACCGCAGGGAUAACAGCAUAAUCUCUCUUAAGAGACCUAAUCGAAAGAGGGGGUUGUGACCUCGAUGUUGGACUAGAGUAUCCUAAAGAUGCAGC
rnacentral:rRNA from 1 species